rnacentral:rRNA from 1 species
UACGAAGGGGGCUAGCGUUGCUCGGAAUCACUGGGCGUAAAGCGCACGUAGGCGGAUUGUUAAGUCAGGGGUGAAAUCCUGGAGCUCAACUCCAGAACUGCCUUUGAUACUGGCAAUCUCGAGUCCGGGAGAGGUGAGUGGAACUGCGAGUGUAGAGGUGAAAUUCGUAGAUAUUCGCAAGAACACCAGUGGCGAAGGCGGCUCACUGGCCCGGUACUGACGCUGAGGUGCGAAAGCGUGGGGAGCAACAGG